GUCCACGCUGUAAACGAUGGGCACUAGGUGUCCGGGGUAUUGACCCCCUGGGUGCCGCAGCUAACGCAUUAAGUGCCCCGCCUGGGGAGUACGGUCGCAAGAUUAAAACUCAAAGGAAUUGACGGGGGCCCGCACAAGCGGUGGAGCAUGUGGUUCAAUUCGACGCAACGCGAAGAACCUUACCUGGACUAGACAACAGUGGACCGUCCUAGAAAUAGGAUUUUCCCUUCGGGGACCGCUGGUUCAGGUGCUGCAUGGCUGUCGU
rnacentral:rRNA from 1 species